GCAGUCGACGAUGAACCUCCUUCGGGAGGGGAUUAGUGGCGAACGGGUGAGUAACACGUGGGCAAUCUGCCCUGCACUCUGGGACAAGCCCUGGAAACGGGGUCUAAUACCGGAUAUGACUCGGGAGGGCAUCCUUCCGGGUGGAAAGCUCCGGCGGUGCAGGAUGAGCCCGCGGCCUAUCAGCUUGUUGGUGGGGUGAUGGCCUACCAAGGCGACGACGGGUAGCCGGCCUGAGAGGGCGACCGGCCACACUGGGACUGAGACACGGCCCAGACUCCUACGGGAGGCAGCAGUGGGGAAUAUUGCACAAUGGGCGAAAGCCUGAUGCAGCGACGCCGCGUGAGGGAUGACGGCCUUCGGGUUGUAAACCUCUUUCAGCAGGGAAGAAGCGCAAGUGACGGUACCUGCAGAAGAAGCGCCGGCUAACUACGUGCCAGCAGCCGCGGUAAUACGUAGGGCGCAAGCGUUGUCCGGAAUUAUUGGGCGUAAAGAGCUCGUAGGCGGCUUGUCGCGUCGGAUGUGAAAGCUCGGGGCUUAACCCCGGGUCUGCAUUCGAUACGGGCAGGCUAGAGUGUGGUAGGGGAGAUCGGAAUUCCUGGUGUAGCGGUGAAAUGCGCAGAUAUCAGGAGGAACACCGGUGGCGAAGGCGGAUCUCUGGGCCAUUACUGACGCUGAGGAGCGAAAGCGUGGGGAGCGAACAGGAUUAGAUACCCUGGUAGUCCACGCCGUAAACGUUGGGAACUAGGUGUUGGCGACAUUCCACGUCGUCGGUGCCGCAGC
rnacentral:rRNA from 1 species